rnacentral:rRNA from 1 species
GAUGAACGCUAGCUACAGGCUUAACACAUGCAAGUCGAGGGGCAGCGCAGUGUAGCAAUACAUGGGCGGCGACCGGCGCACGGGUGCGUAACGCGUAUCCAACCUUCCCGUUACUCAGGGAUAGCCUUCCGAAAGGGAGAUUAAUACCUGAUGGUGUUCAAAUUCCGCAUGUUAUUUGAACUAAAGAUUUAUCGGUAACGGAUGGGGAUGCGUGACAUUAGAUAGUAGGCGGGGUAACGGCCCACCUAGUCUACGAUGUCUAGGGGUUCUGAGAGGAAGGUCCCCCACACUGGAACUGAGACACGGUCCAGACUCCUACGGGAGGCAGCAGUGAGGAAUAUUGGUCAAUGGUCGGAAGACUGAACCAGCCAAGUAGCGUGAAGGAUGAAGGUUCUAUGGAUUGUAAACUUCUUUUAUACGGGAAUAAAAACCACCUACGUGUAGGUGCUUGUAUGUACCGUAUGAAUAAGCAUCGGCUAAACUCCGUG